CAAAAACAAGCUGCUGCAGUCAUUACUGGAAAGAGAGACAUUAAAGUGAAAGCCUUGGAGGCUGCUGAGGCUGCAAAGCGUCUUGCUGAAAAGAAGGAGAAUGAACGGAAGAUGAGGAAGGAAGCCAUGAAGAUUGAGCGAGCAAGGAUGGAAGAACAAAAUUUAAGGCAGUUGGAGCUAGAGAAAAAAAAGAAAGAAGAACAGAAGAAAAAAGAGGCUGAUAUGGCAGCAAAGAAAAGAAAAAGGGAAGAAGAAGAAAGGAAGGAGAGAGAAAGAAAAAGAAAGCGUGUUGAGGACGGAAAGAGACACCAGCUGGAGCANNNNNNNNNNUGUUGAAAGUACAAAAAGAAGAUGAAAGAGCACAUGAGAGGAAGGAAUCUAAGGACAGAUUAGGAAUACAUGAGCAGAUUGAAAAAACAGAGGGAGGC
rnacentral:misc_RNA from 1 species